GACGAACGCUGGCGGCGUGCUUAACACAUGCAAGUCGAACGGAAAGGCCCUGCUUUUGUGGGGUGCUCGAGUGGCGAACGGGUGAGUAACACGUGAGUAACCUGCCCUUGACUUUGGGAUAACUUCAGGAAACUGGGGCUAAUACCGGAUAGGAGCUCCUGCUGCAUGGUGGGGGUUGGAAAGUUUCGGCGGUUGGGGAUGGACUCGCGGCUUAUCAGCUUGUUGGUGGGGUAGUGGCUUACCAAGGCUUUGACGGGUAGCCGGCCUGGGAGGGUGACCGGCCACAUUGGGACUGGGAUACGGCCCAUACUCCUACGGGAGGCAGCAGUGGGGAUUAUUGCACAAUGGGCGGAAGCCUGAUGCAGCAACGCCGCGUGCGGGAUGACGGCCUUCGGGUUGUAAACCGCUUUCGCCUGUGACGAAGCGUGAGUGACGGUAAUGGGUAAAGAAGCACCGGCUAACUACGUG
rnacentral:rRNA from 1 species